rnacentral:rRNA from 1 species
UACGAAGGGUGCAAACGUUGCUCGGAAUUAUUGGGCGGAAAGCGCACGUAGGCGGCUUUGCAAGUCCCAUGUGAAAUCCCACGGCUCAACCGUGGAAGUGCAUGGGAAACUGCAGAGCUUGAGUACUUAAGAGGAUCGCGGAAUUCCCGGUGUAGAGGUGAAAUUCGUAGAUAUCGGGAGGAACACCAGUGGCGAAGGCGGCGAUCUGGGAAGAUACUGACGCUGAGGUGCGAAAGCGUGGGGAGCAAACAGG